CGCUUUUUGGUUUUAUGAAAAGUAGGUUCUGCUCAAUGAAAAUUUAAAUGGCCGCAGUAAACUGACUGUGCAAAGGUAGCAUAAUAAAUAGUUUAUUAAUUGUAAACUUGAAUGAAUGAAUUGACGAGAAAUAUACUGUCUCUAAAUUAAUAUUUUGAAUUUGACUUUUGAGUUAAAAGGCUCAAGUAAAUUUAUGGGACGAGAAGACCCUAUAGAACUUUAUUUAAUUUAAUUUAAAUUUUAUUUAUUUUAUUUAAUUUUUAUAUUAAAUUAAAUUUAAUUGGGGUGAUUUGAAGAUAAAUUUAACUUUUUAUUUUUAAACUUAAAUUAAUGGUUUAUUGAUCUUUAAUUUUGAUUAUAAGAAAAGUUACCUUAGGGAUAACAGCAUAAUUUUUUUGGAGAGUUCUAAUCAAUAAAAAAGUUUGUGACCUCGAUGUUGAAUUAAGAUAAAUAUUAGAUGCAGAAGUUUAAAAUAUUAGGUCUGUUCGACCUUUAAAAUCUUACA
rnacentral:rRNA from 1 species